ensembl:lncRNA
AGGAGAUCCCUGCCUACCUGAGGCCUUCCAAAGGGAACAGUCCCAGUGGGGCUGCUCUGCCACCUGGGCGAGGAGCCAAUGACCUGAGUGAUUCUGCAGCCUCGUAACCCAAAUGUUUUUCCACCAGUGAAGAGAGGAAGCAGGGGGCUGCUUCAAUUAAUGCUGUGCAGUGGGGAUAAGUGAUGCAUUUAAAGGAUUAACUCUUCCUUUUCCUUCGCCUAUCCUCUCUUUAGCAUGACAGCCAACAGAGAGUGUGAUAGAGCAAUCUCUAUCUUGUAUGUGACCACAAGAGAUUAAUUAAACAGUAAGCCCUAAUUACCGAGGCUAAGGCUGACCGACUUACCGUGCCUUGUAAAAUAGCUGAAUACUUAAUUUACGCUCCAGUGUGGACAUAACUUUCACCAUUAGCUGAAUAAACAACGAGCACCCAAGCUAAGCGGACUGCUUCCCUAAUAGAUGCACCAUUAUAAAUGGAGCUCUCCAUUGGUGUGGGCUCACUGGGGCUGCCUCCCAGCUACAAAGGGUUUUUGUGGGAAGGGGGAGCUGCUUUGCAGUGCGCCAACCUGCCCUAAGCCUGGGGGAUUCCCUCUCUGUCAGUGCUCUUCAGCUUUCAGGCUGCUUAUCAAAGCCGUCAUCAUUUGCAUUUCACUGCAGGUUUGGGGGGAGAAAAAAAGGGAAGAUACCGAAAGGCAUAAAACAAAACCGAGCCCCAACUCCCAGUGCAAUGCGGUGGAAGUAGGGCACAUAGCUCCUUUUCUCUUUAUUUUUUUUCUCCCUUUCAAUAUCUGCCAUAAUAACAGUAAUAGAUUCUGAGAAGUGCAAGUUAAUCUGUAGCUCCAGAGCUUUUUAUUGUGUUUCUCCCUUUUUGUGCGUGUUAACCUUUCAAAU